ACUCCUACGGGAGGCAGCAGUGGGGAAUAUUGCACAAUGGGCGCAAGCCUGAUGCAGCCAUGCCGCGUGUGUGAAGAAGGCCUUCGGGUUGUAAAGCACUUUCAGUCGUGAGGAAGGUGGUGUAGUUAAUAGCUGCAUCAUUUGACGUUAGCGACAGAAGAAGCACCGGCUAACUCCGUGCCAGCAGCCGCGGUAAUACGGAGGGUGCGAGCGUUAAUCGGAAUUACUGGGCGUAAAGCGCAUGCAGGUGGUUGUUAAGUCAGAUGUGAAAGCCCGGGGCUCAACCUCGGAAUAGCAUUUGAAACUGGCAGACUAGAGUACUGUAGAGGGGGUAGAAUUUCAGGUGUAGCGGUGAAAUGCGUAGAGAUCUGAAGGAAUACCGGUGGCGAACGGCGGCCCCCUGGACAGAUACUGACACUCAGAUGCGAAAGCGUGGGAGCAAACAGGAUUAGAUACCCCGUGGUAGGACAGUG
rnacentral:rRNA from 1 species